rnacentral:rRNA from 1 species
CAGUCGCCACGGUAAUACGUAGGUCCCGAGCGUUGUCCGGAUUUAUUGGGCGUAAAGCGAGCGCAGGCGGUUAGAUAAGUCUGAAGUUAAAGGCUGUGGCUUAACCAUAGUAUGCUUUGGAAACUGUUUAACUUGAGUGCAGAAGGGGAGAGUGGAAUUCCAUGUGUAGCGGUGAAAUGCGUAGAUAUAUGGAGGAGCACCGGUGGCGAAAGCGGCUCUCUGGUCUGUAACUGACGCUGAGGCUCGAAAGCGUGGGGAGCAAACAGGAUUAGAUACCCGCGUAGUCCCUGUCUCUUAUACA